AUCCUUUCACUAGAUCUGCUACUAUGAGAAUUAUGUACAACAAUAGGGAAAUCUCGAAUGGGAGUAGGCUAAGGCAAUCGGCUGUGGCGGAUAAGCCACAGGUUCAAAUUGAAGGGAAUGAUCCAAGGAAGCUCUAUACACUUGUAAGUUCGAUGUCAUAGCUAGACGAGUGUUUUCAUGGUCUUGUUGCUGUGUCAACUUGGAACACUUGCCUGCAGCCUCUUAACCACAUAUCAAAGCCUGCAUACAUAAACCAGUGAUGGUGGAUCCUGAUGCACCAAGUCCAAACAAUCCAACUGAUAGAGAGUAUCUGCACUGGUAAGCUAAAAAUUAUUUAUCCAAAAAUAAUAUCAUAUAUAUAUAUAUAUAUGAUUUUUGUUUGAUUUAAUUUUUGCAAGAAAAAUGUACUGAUAAAUGAUGUUUGUAUAUUGAAACAGAGAAAUAUAAUCCCCACAAAAUAUUUUUACCAAGACUACCUUCUUUAUUUCAUCUCUCUGGUUUAAGAAGCUAGUGGACAUGAAAUAUAUUUUAUAUUAAAUUACUAAAAUCUUAUGCACCAUAUAUGUACACUCUUUAACCCAUUCUUAUUAUCUUAGGCAUGUCUAUCAAUCCACCAAAACAAAGUUCUUCUCAAUCAAGUAACUCAUUGGUCUCUUGGUAAUGCUUUUUAGGUUGGUGACAGACAUCCCAGAAACUCUUGAUGCAAGUCAUGGUGGGUAAAACUUACUCUAAUAAUCUCUUCCUAAAUGCAUAGUACUAUGACAUUCUCAAAUGACAUAAAUUUGGUUUUUGAUGUGGAUUUUAUAUGUAUAGUCCUCCACUCUUAUUUUCUAAUCACCCCAAAAUAAUGAUAAGGACAGUAACAUAUAAACUAUACAAAAUUCUGUAAGUAAAUUGGAACCAAACACUAUUUGAGUCAUUAAGUUACUUUGGUAAUAAGACCAAACUGGCAUAAUUGCUAACAUCUAGAAUUUGUCAUGUCAUUGUUGAUUCUGCACAGGUUUCUUCAGACUAAAGGGAAAAAUAAAAGAAACAUAAUACAUGAAUUGACCAUACCAGAAUUCUCUUAGCUAAUAUCAACUAUUUCUUUUCUAAUCCUAAUUAAUUAUUGGAGAAAUAUAACUCAUCAAUUUUACCUAGAAUGUGUAGUUCUACCACAAUUUCUUAUGACAACAUGUAUGCUUCAGUUAUUCAGAAAUUUGAACUGUCUAGAAAGUGGUUUCUAUGUUCCAUUUGUUUUUAUGUUCGAGCAAAUUAAAUAAUAUGCUUAUGUGAAUCCAAGAAAAAAAAACAUUUGGCCUACACAAAUAUUCUCAUUCUUGUUCAGGAACAAGUGGAUAAUACUGUCCUGUGUUAUUUAUGUAGGCCAGAAGAACACAUGAUGUUUGAAGUAAAUGGGUUUGUGUUUACCCCUUUCAGUGCUCCAUAGUUCUGCAGGAGGAGAUGCAUAUGUCAUGUGUGUUCAAUCCAUUUGCAGCAAACAUGAUGUGCAAUAUAUAUAUAUGAAUAUAUUGGAUACUUGGAGCAUAUAUACAUGCAUAACUGGAGAAAGAAAUGAGGUUGCCAUGCUCCUUUACAAAGAGGAGAUUGCACCUCAUUCUUCUUCCUACAAGUGGUAGCACAAAUACGUAUGCUGCACACGUACUCGUGUACUGUUGUGCAAGCUACAGUGCUUCUUAGAAAGCCCGGUCAAGCUCUCUGCACGCAUGCACGAGUACGUCGACUCAAAUGGCAUCGAUAUACUGCUGCUACUACUACGUAGUGGACAAGAGAGAAGGGCGGGUGAUGGCCCCACCUCCAACAAGUGUUCUUUCUUUUCUCCUGCAGGCCCCACUUCCCUGCGUCAGUCGGCGUGGCAAGGCUCCGACCGGAAAUCGAGCUCGAUGGACGGCUGUUAUCCUCCCCCCCCACCCGCUCCCGGUGAUCAACGCUUGACUUGACGCCUUUGUGGUUUGUGCGGGCCCCCAAGAGAACCAUGGUCGGCCUCUAUUUUCAUGAUCUUUCCAUCAAGCACUCACACACCUAAAUGUUCUUUUGACUAAGAUGAAGCAGCAAUAUUAUAUACAGGCAGGCAUGCAGGCACGUCGAGGAGACACUUCAAAUGGACUUGAGAUGGCUGUUGAUACAUAUAUAUAUAUGCGAAUGUUCUCUCUUCUCAUGCAAACUAGAUCAUAGUGAUGUUAGGAAACUUAGUCACUCAUGUUAUCUGCAAAUUGAAUUUUUCUAUAUUUUGCCUCUCAUAGCAACAUAUAUACACAAUUGCAUCACCAAAUUCUUCCAUGCAUGGAAAUAUAUGACUGUGUUAACUUUCUCUAUCAUAUUAGUGAAACUACUGUAUACUAUUGGAUAUGAAA